CAAUAGCGUAUAUUAAAGUUGUUGCGGUUAAAAAGCUCGUAGUUGGAUUUCUGCUGAGAACGACCGGUCCGCCCUCUGGGUGUGUAUCUGGCUCUUUCUUGGCAUCUUCUUGGUGAACGUUGCUGCACUUGACUGUGUGGAGCGCUACCCAGGACUUUUACUUUGAGGAAAUUAGAGUGUUUCAAGCAGGCAUACGCCUUGAAUACAUUAGCAUGGAAUAAUAAGAUAGGGCCUCGGUUCUAUUUUGUUGGUUUCUAGAGCUGAGGUAAUGAUUAAUAGGGAUAGUUGGGGGCAUUCGUAUUUAACUGUCAGAGGUGAAAUUCUUGGAUUUGUUAAAGACGGACUACUGCGAANGNAUUUGCNAAGGAUGUUUNCAUUG
rnacentral:rRNA from 1 species